UUGAUCCUGGCUCAGAACGAACGCUGGCGGCAGGCUUAACACAUGCAAGUCGAGCGCCUCGCAAGAGGAGCGGCAGACGGGUGAGUAACGCGUGGGAAUCUACCCAUCUCUACGGAACAACUCCGGGAAACUGGAGCUAAUACCGUAUACGUCCUUCGGGAGAAAGAUUUAUCGGAGAUGGAUGAGCCCGCGUUGGAUUAGCUAGUUGGUGGGGUAAUGGCCUACCAAGGCGACGAUCCAUAGCUGGUCUGAGAGGAUGAUCAGCCACACUGGGACUGAGACACGGCCCAGACUCCUACGGGAGGCAGCAGUGGGGAAUAUUGGACAAUGGGCGAAAGCCUGAUCCAGCCAUGCCGCGUGAGUGAUGAAGGCCCUAGGGUUGUAAAGCUCUUUCAACGGUGAAGAUAAUGACGGUAACCGUAGAAGAAGCCCCGG
rnacentral:rRNA from 1 species